GAUGAACGCUGGCGGCGUGCCUAAUACAUGCAAGUCGAGCGAACAGACGAGGAGCUUGCUCCUCUGACGUUAGCGGCGGACGGGUGAGUAACACGUGGAUAACCUACCUAUAAGACUGGGAUAACUUCGGGAAACCGGAGCUAAUACCGGAUAAUAUAUUGAACCGCAUGGUUCAAUAGUGAAAGACGGUUUUGCUGUCACUUAUAGAUGGAUCCGCUCCGCAUUAGCUAGUUGGUAAGGUAACGGCUUACCAAGGCGACGAUGCGUAUCCGACCUGAGAGGGUGAUCGGCCACACUGGAACUGAGACACGGUCCAGACUCCUACGGGAGGCAGCAGUAGGGAAUCUUCCGCAAUGGGCGAAAGCAUGACGGAGCAACGCCGCGUGAGUGAUGAAGGUCUUCGGAUCGUAAAACUCUGUUAUUAGGGAAGAACAAAUGUGUAAGUAACUAUGCACGUCUUGACGGUACCUAAUCAGAAAGCCACGGCUAACUACGUG
rnacentral:rRNA from 1 species